UACAGAGGUGGCAAGCGUUGUUCGGAAUUACUGGGCGUAAAGGGCGCGUAGGCGGCCUUCUAAGUCAGACGUGAAAUCCCCCGGCUUAACCUGGGAACUGCGUCUGAUACUGGAGGGCUUGAGUGCGGGAGAGGGAUGUGGAAUUCCCGGUGUAGCGGUGAAAUGCGCAGAUAUCGGGAGGAACACCAGUGGCGAAGGCGGCACUCUGGGCCGGUACUGACGCUGAGGAGCGAAAGCGUGGGGAGCGAACAGG
rnacentral:rRNA from 1 species